UACAGAGGUCUCAAGCGUUGUUCGGAUUCAUUGGGCGUAAAGGGUGCGUAGGCGGCGCGGUAAGUCGGGUGUGAAAUCUUGGAGCUUAACUCCGAAACUGCAUUCGAUACUGCCGUGCUUGAGGACUGGAGAGGAGACUGGAAUUUACGGUGUAGCGGUGAAUGCGUAGAUAUCGUAAGGAAGACCAGUGGCGAAGGCGGGUCUCUGGACAGUUUCCUGACGCUGAGGGCACGAAGGUCAGGGAGCAAACGGG
rnacentral:rRNA from 1 species